GCACCUAUGGCCGAGUUGGUCUAAGGCGUCGGAUUCAAGUCCCGAUCUCGCAAGAGGCAGGGGUUCGAAUCCCCUUGGGUGCA